UACGUAGGGUGCGAGCGUUGUCCGGAAUUACUGGGCGUAAAGAGCUCGUAGGUGGUUUGUCGCGUUGUCCGUGAAAACUCACAACUCAAUUGUGGGCGUGCGGGCGAUACGGGCAGACUGGAGUACUGCAGGGGAGACUGGAAUUCCUGGUGUAGCGGUGGAAUGCGCAGAUAUCAGGAGGAACACCGGUGGCGAAGGCGGGCUCUGGGCAGUAACUGACGCUGAGGAGCGAAAGCGUGGGGAGCGAACAGG
rnacentral:rRNA from 1 species